GACGAACGCUGGUGGCGUGCUUAACACAUGCAAGUCGAACGGGAUUUAGUAAACAGACGCCUCGGUGGAAGAUUACUAAUGAGAGUGGCGAACGGGUGAGUAACGCGUGAGCAACCUGCCUAUGACAGUGGGAUAGCCUCGGGAAACCGGGAUUAAUACCGCAUAAAAUCGUAGAAACACAUGUUUUAACGGUCAAAGAUUUAUCGGUCAUAGAUGGGCUCGCGUCUGAUUAGCUAGUUGGUGAGAUAACAGCCCACCAAGGCGACGAUCAGUAGCCGGUCUGAGAGGAUGAACGGCCACAUUGGAACUGAGACACGGUGCAAACUCCUACGGGAGGCAGCAGUGGGGAAUAUUGCACAAUGGGGGAAACCCUGAUGCAGCGACGCCGCGUGAACGAAGAAGGUAUUCGUAUCGUAAAGUUCUGUCCUAUGGGAAGAUAAUGACAGUACCAUAGAAGAAAGCUCCGGCUAAAUACGUG
rnacentral:rRNA from 1 species